rnacentral:rRNA from 1 species
UUGACCUCGAUCAGGUAGCU